GUGAAGGGAAAACGGGUCCACCACCCUCUCCCCUCCCUGCUCGCUCCAGCCCGGGAGGGCUGGCUUGGAAGCGCUUUUUCCGGGGCGCUUGCCCUGGGGCCGUCCCGUGUCGCCCCUCCUCUCACCCCAGCAGCCCCGAGGGACGACGGCAGGUCUUAGAUAGCUUCGUUCCGUGUUUCAGAUAAAGUGAGGCCCGGAGGAGCAAGGGAUCGGGGUUCGUAGGCACUUGGUGGCUGCACCAAAAACGGUGCCAGACAUGUCCACAGACUUGUCUGGGUACCGAUUUUGCUCCCCAGCAGAU
rnacentral:lncRNA from 1 species